GUAUUUACAGCUAUAGGUUUUGUUAUUUGGUGCAGUUAGGCUAUAACGUUUUUACGCGAUGAAUUUUGCACGAGGGUUUUGUCUUCUUAAAUGUUUCGUUUUAUUUGCAUGAACAUUGCCAAAACGAUAUUCAUUUGAAUAGAAGUGCGCAGUUCACAAAAUCCUAAAGAUCACAAAACCAAAGCAUGGAUACAAAAUUCUUCAAAAUUUAGAAUUAUAAGAGUACUUACAUUCGUGCAGGAAAAUAAAAAUUUUGCCCUCUGCCAUUUAUAGGAAUAUUGGAAUUGCAAACUUUGUUCAUGCAGAUUCUCAUUUUGGUCGCUAUCCAGAUUGAUGAUUGAGAAAGACCCUUCCAGUAUAUAUACUUAAAAUCCAGGAGCAAGAAUAUCUAUACAGCAUGUCAUAUAGAACAUGCAUGCAUUGUGCUUUCCCCGUGAUUAAGCCUAUAAUAUUAACUUGUAUACUGUAUAUAUGUAACUGUGUAUAAAAACAAGAUGAAACAAAUGCUUUGUGAAACGUGAUUAAUAAAAUUUAUAAUAAAUAUGUUUAUGUUUUAAUUAUUUGUAUAUCUAUAAUUGUGAAAGGCAUCCUAAUUGUUGGAGACAAUCAUGCAGCAACCAUGCGGCGUAUCAAGGAAUUAUGCUUAAAUUUGCAAGUCGAAAGUGCUAUUGUAGCGUGAAUUGUGAAAGAAUCUCUUCGUGCAUGGAGUAGAAAUUACACCAUUCCAUGUUGGGC